rnacentral:snRNA from 1 species
CAACGUUACUGCUCUUUUUGAAUUUGUCUAGCAGGUUUUCUGCAUUUUACAAAAGAAGAAGAAACCCAC